AUGCAAGGGGUGGAGUUCCAGCCUGAAGAGAGCUGCAACCAACCUAAAGUCUGGGCUUCUUUGUGAAGAUGAGCAUUCACAUCUGCCUUUGAUCAGGCCCAUGGCAGCCCAGGAUCAGAUCAGAAAGCAAAUGAGAUGAUAAAGUGGAUGAAACCACACCUCGAGAAACGCAUGCUUUGAUAAGAAGUGCUUCUUCUGAUGGACUCUGGAAUGAAGUCUUGUGAAACAUAUCUGAACUGAAUCCUGGCAUAGAGUAUAACUGAAACUGAUCAGCCACCUACAUGUAAUGUGAGUAAAAAGUAAACCUCAAUUGUCAUCAUUCACUGAAACUGGAAGGAGGGUAUUUGUUACACAGCCUAACCUGGCAAAACUAACGUAGACAUUUGUAUCUGGAA
rnacentral:lncRNA from 1 species